GAUAAGAUGCAACAUUUUCAUUACAUUUUGUAUUCGGAAACAAGCAGUUGUGCAUUGACAUUUGCAGUGAUCAUACGCUUUCGGUUUGGAUUGGAAUAACUUUGUGGUGACUUUGAAUCUAGAAAUGAAGGUGACUUAUUUGAUUUUCAUCAGUUUUGUACUGUUAAUGCUCGUUGCAUUGGUUCCAAAUGCAGUAUCGGUCGAAAAGCCUCCACAGGGAACACAAGAUGGAAACAUUGGUGGGUCUAUCCCAACUUCUCAAUGUUUCGAAUAUACAACCAAGAGUGGAGAAAAAAAAACGAAAUGCAGAGGAUGAGCUUCUAAAACCGGGAUUCAUUUCAGAAUAGUUUCAUUAUUAAAACAAUAUAGAGUUGAUAAUAUAUACCAUAAAGUAUAAAAUAGAUUGUGGCCACCAAAAUGUUUCACUCAUUGAAUAAAAUCAUUUGAAUAUAAACCAUUUUUGUUAUUUAUUUGAAGAUAUUGUGUGUUAUGAAUCCUUCUGCCUAAAAUAUCAUGGAUAAAUUCCUGAAUGCUUAUAUUUUACAAAACAAAUGUGAUAAAAUACGUCAAUAUAAAACGUGUGAUUCAGUCGUUCGGUUUGCAUGUAAAUUGAACUGACUGCAGAUAUUUUUAUUUUUUUCCGAGUCAAUAAAAAUACCGUUCAGUUUAAUUUGAUACGAUGAUCAGGCGAUAAUGUGUCACAUCGAGCUAUGCAUAUUGUAGAAAUGUAUUGCUAUGUAUGAUUAUUUUUUUUUUCCGAAUUGCGCAUAAUUUAUUCAUUUUUAUUGAACGCACAAUUUUGAGAAAAAAAAUAUGUAUGCGCAAUUGAAAGAAAAUUUAUUUAUUAAAGAUAAAAUAAUCAUAAAUGGAAUUUUCAUUAACUCAUAAAAUGUACUUUUAUUACACAAUUAUAAUCCCCACUACUUUGCACUUUGAAUAAAACUCCACUGAUUCUAUGAACGAAAUUCAAAGGUACUACGUUCUUGGAUGCCAUCGAUCGCCUAUAAAAAAAACUGAGAAAAAUGAAGUUGACAAAUGCAGUGUUCAUCAAUUUGCUAUUGAUGAUAAUCAUAUUUUCCGUUGCAAUCGAUGGAGUAUCGAGUAUGCCAUUUGCAAUGGGACAGUACUGUGAACCACCAAAAAAAAUUGUAGUUUAUCAUACCAAAGGUGGUAAAAUACUAACCAAAUGCAAACUGCUACAAAAAAGUGUUGUACCCAAUUCGAUUAAAAACGAUUCAAAAUAAAUUAAAACUGUUUGGCAAUUUGAUGGUCAAAGUCAAAUAACAAAAUGGUAUAUCUUCCGUGGAC